CAAACAUUUCCAAAGAGCAUAUAUCCAACCACCAGCCACAGAUGAGAGGAAACACACCAAUUUCUACAACAACUAAUAAGGAAACCUUGACAACGAUAUAGCAAACUCCUAACAGACGACGUGAUCGCUGGAACUUAACAAGUGCUGCCAAACCAUGACAAACUAUUAGAGUCACUGCCAGCAGAACGUAUCCAACUAUAGUUGUAAUCAGUCCCUCAAAGUGAGAUGCUUGAACAUAUUCCUCAAAGCCCAGGCCAACAAUGGAGAAGUGACCAAUGUGGUAUGGACAAAAUGCAAACACAAGUAUGAACAACGUAUUUAAAGAUACCACCCAAAAGACAUGUUCUAAAAAAACCAAAGAUCCGUCAAGCCCAAGCAUUCGCUCCCAAGUAAGCUCUUCUGCUGCUCGAUCCCAUUCCAAAGCAUUCCAGUUCAUGUCAUCUUGUGCUCCAUUGUUUGCAUCUGCUGCAUCUUCUACCACAGCAUCUUCUUCAUCUUCAUUAUCCUCCUCCUCUUCAUCUACCUGUUCUUCUUGAAUUUCAGGGUUCUCACCUACAACUGCAUUGUCAGCAGCUGCGUUAGCAGGCUGAUCAAGCACAGCAUUUUCAACAGCUCCAUUUGCAACAGCCUGAGCCUCGUUUUGUUGACCAACACCAUUGAGUGGCUGCUGCUGAUUUUGUUCCAACCACUGUGGUGCUCCUCCAUGGACGAUCUGUUCACGUAACCAAACAAGGCUGAUAAAUGCACACAGAGUGCAUGUCACCACAAA
rnacentral:lncRNA from 1 species